AUGCCAUUUCUGAAGAGAACUGGAAAAAAAAAAAGAGGGGAUAAAACCAAAACCAGACUCAUAUUUUUGGUUAUUUGUGGCUUCAGGCUAUUUUUAAAGAAACUGCCUUUGAAUUCCCCGUGGUAUUUUUAUUUUCUGUUCUUUUUGUCUUCCAGAGGCCAACUCAGGGUUUGCUGGAUUCUGGAAAAUCCAGGGGAUUUUGAAAAAGAAAAUCUGUGGUGGUUUAUCACUAAAACGGAACCAUACAGGCUGAUCUUUUAUACCCAGAUGAUGCUGGCAACCCCCUCCCAGCCAGGAAUAUACUUCCAGUUGGAAAGUUCUUUGAUUCUAAGCAGUCUACAAUGACCUGUUUUCGAAAAAUCAGAUUUUCAGCUAAACACCAGCUCCCCUCACUGAUGGCUUUUCAGGCUAUAUUAGCACUUCCAGAAGACUUUGCCAUCCACAGAAGAUGAGUUACCCAAGAGCCAUGAUGAAUCUCUAUAUCACAAACUCACAGGCUGUCUUGAUCCAUCAUCAGAGAGGACCUGGAGCUGGCCAGCACCCUCCCAGGUUCUGGAGCUCAAUGCAGAGGACUCGUUCCAGGUCUACCUCUCAUCCUUUCAGGGAAUAAGCCUUGCUCUUGGAGGUAAUGCCCUGUGCUCCCAUUUUCCCAUCAACUGAGCAACAUUACCAGGUGCACCUUCCCCAGGACUCCUGCUCCAACAUUCACAAAAGUUUUCUAUCAUCUUCUCUGACCAAGAAGCUCUGGCCUAGUGCCAAGAUCUCUCACAGUCUGAGCACCCUAGGCUCAUCCAUCUUUUUUUAUUUUUAUUUUUCUUUGUCUUGUGCCAUCGUUUGGUGUCCUGGAGCCCUUCCCCAGGAAGGUUGGAGGAAUACUGGGUUACUCUGUACGGAGCAAAUGUGUGAAUAAAUAAAGCCUUAGAUCUGUGCUUGGGUUCUGA
rnacentral:lncRNA from 1 species